AAGCAUUAGAUAAUUUGUCACUAAUAAAACUUUUGAAUUAGCCACACAAACGAAUCAAAUAAAAAUAAAAAUGUCUCCCAAUAAGUUUCCUAACAUUUUUUUUAGUUCUUGACACUAAUUGUUAAGUGACAUUGUAGGGCCCAAUUUUUGCCCGGCCCGUUAAAGAAAUAAAGCCCAAACAAUUACAAGCCUAAAAACAUUAAAAUUUCAGAAACCCUAACAGCAUUUGCCCGCAGCCGCCGCACAUCCCAACAGCAGACCCGCGCACGUCGCGCACGUUCGCCUCCGUACCUGCAGCAACAAGCAGAAACAAACAGCAACAAAAUAAUAGGAAUAACAGAAUAGAUAUAGAUCUGAUUUUGGUUGUUUUUCUUUCAGAUUUUCGGCUAUAUAAGGUUGAUUUAAAUUUGUAAAAGGAAAAAAAGGGGGAGAGAAAAAAUACAAAGAAGGGACUGAUACGAAAUAGAUACAGAAAUUUUUCGAAUAUAUAAGGUGUUUUUUCCAUUUUUCAUCUUUCUUAGUUUCGUUUUGUUAUUUUUUUUUCUUUUAGCUUUUUUAUUUUAUUUUUCAUUUAAAAUAUAAAGAAAGGAGGAAAAGACUUACCUGGACGCCGGAGUUGUCGAGCCGAUGUCUUCUUCGGCGAAAUCGGGGCAUGGGGCACUAGGCUCGAACAACGGCGCAAGGAGGGAGGGGGUUAAAAAAACCCUAGUAGACCACUGUUUUUUAACAAAAAAAAACAAGCAGAAUACUUUUUUUUAGGGUUUUGACUAACUUAAAGAAGAAACGAAAACGGUGCCGUUUUGAUGGCCAGACCCGCGCGGUGACCCGAACCGGAGCGGAGGAUCCGCGCGUUCUGGCCGAAUGGGA
rnacentral:lncRNA from 1 species